rnacentral:rRNA from 1 species
GUGUCAGCCGCCGCGGUAAUACGUAGGUGGCAAGCGUUGUCCGGAAUUAUUGGGCGUAAAGCGCGCGCAGGCGGUCUCUUAAGUCUGAUGUGAAAUCUCGCGGCUCAACCGCGAGCGGCCAUUGGAAACUGGAAAACUUGAGUGCAGAAGAGGAAAGUGGAAUUCCAUGUGUAGCGGUGAAAUGCGCAGAGAUAUGGAGGAACACCAGUGGCGAAGGCGACUUUCUGGUCUGUAACUGACGCUGAUGUGCGAAAGCGUGGGGAUCAAACAGGAUUAGAUACCCCAGUAGUCC